rnacentral:lncRNA from 1 species
GGAGAGAUCAGUUCAAAUCAGGAGGAAGACCCAAAGCAUCCAUGGGUUUCAGAGCAUCUCAUAAGAUUUGAAAGGCAAAAGCAAGGAGUGAAACUGAAUGUGAAAAAUGAAAACUGCCCACCUGGUGAAGAGAAGGGAAGGAGGAAAUCAGAAGGGCAUAUAAAUCUAAAAGUCUCGGCAUUACUUCAGAGAUGCUGCAUACUCAGUUCUGCACUUUGUGGGGGCUACAGAACACCAAUUCUCUACAAACCACCAGCUUGCAGGAAGAUAACUAAGUAUACUCAAUCCAUCUUUUCUAUAAGACCAGGUAUGUAAAUAUAUU